AUUGAACGCUGGCGGCGUGCCUAAUACAUGCAAGUCGAACGGAGUGGCGCACGGGUGAGUAAUGUAUAGCUAAUCUGCCCUACACUAGAGGACAACAGUUGGAAACGGCUGCUAAUACUCUAUAGUGUAGGAUGAGGCUAUAUUGUAUCAGCUAGUUGGUGGGGUAAUGGCUCUCCAAGGCUAUGACGAAUAACUGGUCUGAGAGGAUGAUCAGUCGCACUGGAACUGAGACACGGCCCAGACUCCUACGGGAGGCAGCAGUGGGGAAUCAUCCGCAAUGGACGAAACCCUGAAGCAGCAACGCCGCGUGGAGGAUGACACUUUUCGGAGCGUAAACUCCUUUUGUUAGGGAAGCGGUACCUAACGAAUAAGCACCGGCUAACUCCGUGCCAGCAGCCGCGGUAAUAC
rnacentral:rRNA from 1 species